UACGUAGGGUGCAAGCGUUGUCCGGAAUUAUUGGGCGUAAAGAGCUCGUAGGCGGUUUGUCGCGUCGAAUGUGAAAUCCCGGGGCUCAACCCCGGGUCUGCAUUCGAUACGGGCAGACUAGAGUUCGGUAGGGGAGUCUGGAAUUCCUGGUGUAGCGGUGAAAUGCACAGAUAUCAGGAGGAACACCGGUGGCGAAGGCGGGACUCUGGGCCGAUACUGACGCUGAGGAGCGAAAGCGUGGGGAGCAAACAGG
rnacentral:rRNA from 1 species